GAUGAAGAACGUAGUGAAAUGCGAUACUUGGUGUGAAUUGCAGAAUCCCGUGAACCAUCGAGUCUUUGAACGCAAGUUGCGCCCGAAGCCAUUAGGCCGAGGGCACGCCUGCCUGGGUGUCACACGUCGUUGCCCCCCCAUCUACUCCUUCGGGAUUGCGGGGGGCGGAUGAUGGCCUCCCGUGCGCCUCGUCGCGCGGUUGGCAUAAAUGCCAAGUCCUCGGCGACGCACGCCACGACAAUCGGUGGUUGCGAAACCUCGGUUGCCCGUCGUGUGCGGUCGUCGCGCAUCGAGGGCUCGAAAAAAUUGUCGGGCUCCGGCUCGGCUUUCAACGCGACCCCAGGUCAGGCGGGGUUACCCGCUGAAUUUAAGCAUAUCAAAGCGGAGGA
rnacentral:misc_RNA from 1 species